CCUCACCACGUUUUGUGCGCUCCUUCCUGCCCGAUUUUUUUCCUUUUCCCUCUCUCGAUAUCUACCUCUCUGCACUGUCUUUGUAUCUCUCUCUAUCCUCUCUCCUAAUACCUUCAUUUUCCCUCGCUCUUUUUCCUCUUAUCUUACCUCCCUCUCUCUCUUUUCCCUCACCCGAUACCUCCAUCUUUCUCUCCCCCGAAGCCUCUUCUCUUGAGCAUCCCCUUCUCUCUUUCCCCAAUCUCGAUACCUCUAUCCCUCUCUCUUUCUGUCACUCCCCGGAUUAUACGUUCCCCCGGGCACGCCAACAGAUCCGCCGUAUAUAUAGAAAUUUUUUCUGUAUACGAAGCGAUAGCUGUAACUGUAAAUAAAUCAAGCUACAACCACAAGGUAAUGAGCUGCUAAACUGAAAAACAUAUAUAUAUAUAUAUAUAUAAACCUCGAGUAGUUCAAGUACAUAUAAAAAGUCUACAACAUCACUCGCUCCAGCGAGUACCCAGACAACAACCAUAUGUACAAAAAUAUCCCAAAACUACCUGUGGAAGGUACUCCUCUAGCACUGCAACCCGUCGGGAAGGGAUCUAGCUCGCAACUCCUUUCCACGAUCAGAUCAGGAACAACAGCAGCCGCAGAAGAAGGCUCUGCAAAAAGGGGUCAAUAACUGGGUAUGAGAAUUACUGCAAAAAGAAGUAGUCCUCAGUAGAUACCGCUACCGAUCUCAACGGCUCACCCAUUAAGUCUAC
rnacentral:lncRNA from 1 species